GCCCGGGUGAUGAAAUUGGUAGACAUGAGGGACUCAAAAUCCCUUGGUGCGAGCCGUGUGGGUUCAAGUCCCACUCCGGGCACCA
rnacentral:tRNA from 1 species